GACGAACGCUGGCGGCGCGCCUAACACAUGCAAGUCGAACGGAGUAAAUCGCUGAAUUGAUAGCAGCUUGCUGAAGGAAAUUCUUGAUUUACUUAGUGGCGGACGGGUGAGUAACACGUGAGCAACCUGCCUGUAAGAGGGGGAUAACGUCGGGAAACUGACGCUAAUACCGCAUAACAUCAGAGAUUGGCAUCAAUUUUUGAUCAAAGGAGCAAUCCGCUUAUAGAUGGGCUCGCGUCCGAUUAGCUAGGUGGUGAGAUAACAGCCCACCAUGGCGACGAUCGGUAGCCGGACUGAGAGGUUGAUCGGCCACAUUGGGACUGAGACACGGCCCAGACUCCUACGGGAGGCAGCAGUGGGGGAUAUUGCACAAUGGGGGAAACCCUGAUGCAGCGACGCCGCGUGAGGGAAGAAGGUUUUCGGAUUGUAAACCUCUGUUGACGGAGAAAAAAAUGAAUGGUAUCCGUUUAGAAAGCCACGGCUAACUACGUG
rnacentral:rRNA from 1 species